rnacentral:rRNA from 1 species
CCAAUAGCGUAUAUUAAAGUUGUUGCAGUUAAAAAGCUCGUAGUUGAACUUCGGGGUCUACCCAUUGGUCAGGCUUAAUUGUUUGCACUGGUGAGAUGGAUCUCUACCUUCUGAGGAACUUUCAUGCCAUUUAUUUGGUGUGAUGGGAAAUCAGGACUGUUACUUUGAAAAAAUUAGAGUGUUUAAAGCAGACUAUCGUCUGAAUACAUUAGCAUGGAAUAAUGAAAUAGGACGGACUGAUUCUAUUUCGUUGGUUUCUAGGAUCACCGUAAUGAUUAAUAGGGAUAGUUGGGGGCAUUAGUAUUCAAUUGUCAGAGGUGAAAUUCUUGGAUUUAUUGAAGACUAACUACUGCGAAAGCAUUUGCCAAGGAUGUUUUCAUUAAUCAAGAACGAAAGUUAGGGGAUCGAAGACGAUCAGAUACCGUCGUAGUCUUAACCAUAAACUAUGCCGACUAGGGAUCGGACGAAGUUAAUUUUAUAAUGACGCGUUCGGCACCUUACG